rnacentral:tmRNA from 1 species
GGGGAUGUAAAGGCUUCGACGGGGAGAACGACCCCGGAUAAGCGAGCGGCGGUGCGGAACCGCCAUAAAAUCCGCAAACUUAAAAUAACUGACAAAAAUACAGUUGCUUUAGCUGCUUAAUGCAGCUCGUUCCUGCGCGGAGUACCUCGGCCGCGUAAGGGGCGUCGAUUAGAGGUAAAUGUGAACAGAGAAUUGCUCCGCUCCCUGUCACACAUCAGGAGCUGCCAAACCGUUUAGCCUGUCGUUAGGCGACUCGGCAAGGGAGAUUUAAUAUAGCGACUGCGCUCGGAGAAAGUCCCGGCGAAUUCUUUUCGGACACGGGUUCGAUUCCCGUCAUCUCCACCA